rnacentral:tRNA from 1 species
GCGUCGGUGGUUCAGUGGCAGAAUGUUCGCCUCCCAAGCGGACGACCCGGGUUCAAUUACCGGCCGAUGCA